CUCCUUGCGGUCGCGGUCGCGAAUCCCUAUUUUCAACCUGUCGGGGCAACCCGGCUAUGUCGGUAGACUAUCGGGUGGAAUAAGCAUUUCGGACCCGGGGGGCAGUACCCCGGCGCCUCCACCAUCACUCCAGCCGCGCUGGACUGUUGAUGGGGGCGAAACAGGAUCGACGAGUGCAAUAAAGGCCCGGUUGCCGAUCGGUAUGGAUGCCACCGUGACGGCUCAUUCACACAAGUGCCAACGAUAACGAGGCGCUCGCUAUUGCUGCGUAACUGACGGCCUAACGGUCUGAAGUUAUAAAGCUUAAGCGCGGUCGGACCCCACCGGGCAACAGAAGGGGAUUCCAGCGGCUCGGGGGACGCCGGGCAACAGAAGUCCCCCACU
rnacentral:tmRNA from 1 species